ACAUGUACCAGAGGUUUCUUCCAAAUUUGUGGCCUCAUCCAAUGGCUUUCCAUCAUCAGUUUCUUUUCUCUCCAAUCCAAAAUCUGAUGAUUGCUCAUUCUGCGAUGUUUUGGAUUCACAAGCAUCACGUUGAUUCUCUGGUUCUCUAGGUUCCUCCCCCUUUGAGAUGUCAGUGGCUUCUGAUACAGUGUUGCAUUUUCCAGUCUCUUCUUCUAUAUGCACAUAUGGUUCCUCAGGCAAGUUUUCCUGGGCUUCAUGUCCAUUCCCCUUUCCAUUAUCUUCAGACUCUACUUUAGGGGCAUCUAAUGUGGGAUUAUUCUCCAUUUGCAUUAAUUUCUCAUCCAUUGCUUCGGACACAGGAGCUUCUGAGUGCUCAUAUGGAGCUUGAUCUUUCUCUGAAGUUUCAUCAGUUAAUUUCCUCUCUUCAAUGGCUUCAGGCUCAUGUUCUUCUGAAGGCACGGUAGAAUAGUCCUUUAAUGCAUCUCCUAAUAUUUCUUUUAAGGGAAUCUCCCUAGCAGUCAUCUCCUUUUGAUCUUCACUUCCUUCAUUUGGAACUUUAUCCUCUUCUUCCUGACGAAUCUCCUUGUGCUUCUUGCAUGAGAUGGAAGAGUCUGCUGGUUUCACAUCAAUGUCAGCACUGUCUGUGCCAACCCCUUCAUGGUCAGUUGUUUCUAGGCCGUUCUUUUCAACAGCAAGAACAUUAUCUAUGUCAUGCUUUUUCUCUUCUGCUUCGGCUUCCUUCAUAUCUGUUUCUUCUGUUUCUGCUGCAGGUAAUGCAGAGUCCAAAUCCACAGUAUUGAUACUUCCCUCUGCUGAGGUUUCUUCUUCAGUGUUCUUCUUGGACUCCUUAGGAUCAAAGGAAGAGCUACAAACAAGGUCUUCUUGGAUUUCUGUUGGUGUUAUUUCUUCAUUUGACUCCUUCAAAAUAUCAAACAGAAUAGGAUCAUUAUUUGGCUCUGCUGUUUCCUUAGUUUCCUCUGUGGAGUCUGUUUCCUCAAUGUUUGAGGCACUAGACUGUAAAACAAUUGAAUAUUUAAGUUAGCAACUAACAAUGGUAAAAAAAAAAAAAAAUGGACCUAAAUCAACUUCCAUUACUAGCUGACCUCUUUUGUUAACUUCGUUGGGCUGCUUUCAUCUUCCCUUAUGCUUUCCUUCACGGUUUCAUCAUUAAUUGAUGAGUUGGAGAUGCCAGCUAUAGGGUGUUCCUCAAUGUCUGACUUUUCUCGACUUGUACCUGAAGCUGCUGUUUCUGAUUGUUUACACACCUGUGUGACAAACAAAAUAUCAACUUAACCGUGAAAAGUACUAGAAAAUAACAGAUUAGGUUAUAAACAAGGACAAAGCACAACAGGCCAGGGGUCAUUCAUGUGCUCUAAGUUAUGACUUGAAUUUAUCAUUCUUGGAGAUCUCUAUCUUAUAGUGUAAUAUUUGAAGUUUCCUGGCCUACUUACUGAUGUUAUAGUCUGCAUCAGUUGCCUCAUAACGCCUUUGUGAUUAAUGAAAUCUGUUUUUGCCCCUUCUUUCUCAGUUUUUUAGCAGAACUCACUUUGUUUCCAUUACUUCUACAUUAGAAGAAUUGAGGAAAGACUUGUGUCAAUGAUCUCGUUUAUUCAUGAAUCAGUUGAAGUUAAUGAUGCUAUAUUCUGUUAAUAUGUUAAGUAUGCGGUAACUUAGAUGAAUGAACAUUACAUAUAUAAUCAGAAUACUUGAUUGGAAUUUCUUAAAGAUUUCAUGUAUACUCACUCAGAACAGCGAGCCAUAGCUUAUAGUUGCUCCACCCUCCCUUUCUCAAAUGCAAGGGAAAUAAAGGGGCAAAUGCCACUUUCUUUAGCGUUAAAUGAAAAAAUCUUAUUUCCUUUUUCCUCUUCUGUUGAGAAUUUGUUGACGAAAAUCUAUUAUUAUAUUUUCCGUAAUGCAUAUUAUCAUAUUUUAGCAUCUUUCAGAAAUGGUCCAAUAUAAAAUGCCAAGCACCAAAAUUGCACAUUCCACAAUAGCUGACUACUUUUUCUGGUUUUCUUUACUCAUAUUUUUUCUCCAAAGAGUCCUCAUUUAUCUGUCCUGCUGUGGACAAUUCAAAGUUGUUCUCAGCUUUAAUUUCAUCCUCUAGUUUUUUGUGUUUCAAUGUUUUUAAGCUUCCUCAGUGGCUUGAAUUAUUUAAUGUCCUAUGUGAAUGUACAAUACUUUUGAAUUGAAGAAGUAGAAUAAAGCAAAGAAAUGCUAAAUGCACAGCCCUUUAGAUGGGGUACACAACACAUUUGUCUUUGUCACUUUCUAGUUGUGCUGUUCAACAGAGUGUGCAUGUGAGUGCACGUAAUGAUUGUUUGUGCCAUGUCUUGUUGGUGGAAGUGUAAGUUCAGAAACAUAGAAUAAGUGAGAAGUUCAAAGAUUAGUGAGUCAUAUUCUACUUACCUCUUUUAUGGACAUUAUUGCCACAGCAUUCUCUUCCAUCAUCUCUGUCAGUUGUGUAGGCUGGUCCUUGUUGGUGUCUUCCUCCUCUAGAAUUUGUUUUUCAGCAUCCUCAACUGUGUUGUUUGUUUCCAGUUUCUCGCAUACCUGGAUGAAAAAUAUAUUGAACGAUUGGUGAAGUGAAACGUGGAGGUUUCAACUUAAUCUUAUGAACAAGGCUCUGCAAAAUUUUAAAAAUGAUCUGAACCUCACCUCUACUUCAGGUGUUUCUUCUUUUUCAUCUUUUUGGAAGCUCUUAUACAUUUCUUCUUCAGUAGAUUUUGGUGAGUCAUCCAUAAUAGCACUUUCUUCCUUUACUGUAGAUAAAGGUUCCUCAUCCACCUCUGUUUUGUUUAAGCUUGUCUCUCCUCUUACUUCUGUCACAGCUUCACUAUUACUCCCAUCUUGACAAAGUUUUGAUUCAUCAGUAACGUCCUCCUUAAUUUUUUCUUCUGACUCCCUUUCUUCUCCGUGCACACUUACAGGGUCUCUAGACUCUUUAUCCUGUCCCCUUUCUUCUGAUUCUUCUCGGAUGAGGGAUGCUUCUCUGUCUUUGGUUGAAUGUGCUUCAAUCUCUGAGUGUUUUGCUUCUAUCUGUUCCUCAGAGUCUGCUUCCUUGAGACAUUCAGUUGAGACUGAACUGUAGUCUUCCACCUAUCAAACAUAGUUAAAAUGUUUAAAAUCAAACAAAAAUUGAGCAACAUCUAGAUAAACUAUUUACAUGAAUAUUCAUUACUGAGAUGACCUCAUUAGUUGUUUCAUCUCCUUCUGCUACUGGAUGAAGUUCAUUUGUGCUACUUUCUUCCUCGACAUGUUCUUUGCUGCCUUCACUGUCGACAGCUUUCUCAACUUCCUUAUCGACCUGCUAAGUAAAUAUUUGGUUAAUAUAACAAAAAUGGCACAUUCUUAAAUAAUCAUGUAGAGAAAAAUAUUUAUACGUGUUCUUUACCUCUUCAGACAAGAUGACAGCCUUGCUAACCUCAUUUGCAUUUUGUUCUCUGUUAAUAUAGUCUUCAUCCUCCAAUUUGUCUUCCUCUUCCUCUUUUAUCUGUUUUUCAGCUUCUUGAUUCUGAACAUCAGUGGUGGUUUCAUCAGCUUGGCUCUUGCUGGUUUUAGGGCAGGUUUCCUUAGUUUGGUCUUCAGCCACUGGUUCAGAGUCAGAUUUUGGCUUUUCUUCGGAACCUGCUAGUGCUAGCUCAACAUUCUGUUUCAAAUUAAAAAUUAGUAGAGGGCUCGAGAAGUGUGCUACUUAAUGGGGUUAAACGAUCAUAAAAUUACGUGACCAAAUUUAGUGUUCCAUUAUGGUGUAUAAAGUUUUGGUUUUUGUCCUUUGUUUUCAGAAAAAAAUUGAAGACUCCGUUGUUUAUAAGAUUUAAUAAACCACAUGUUUGCAGGAUGAAAAUCAUCAAAAUUGAAAUGAUAUCUGUUGCCAUAUCUUUAACUUGAUUUGGUUUCUUUUAAAACAAAAAGCAGUAGUGAAGAGUAAUGUUGCUCUAACCUUUGCAGUAUCAUUUGUGCUAACGAUCUCAGGCAUCUGAUCACAAGAUAUUUGUAGCAGUUCAGUUUCUUCUUUUUCUACUUCAAUAUCUUCCUUCAAGCUUUCUGGUUUUGCCAAGUUCUCAGCUAAAUUUUCUUCUUCUUGGAUGGCCUUAUCUCCAUCCUCACAUGUACCAGAUGUUUCUUCCAAAUUUGUGGCUUCAUCCAAUGGCUUUCCAUCAUCAGUUUCUUUUCUCUCCAAUCCAAAAUCUGAUGAUUGCUCAUUCUGUGAUGUUUUGGAUUCACAAGCAUCACGUUGAUUCUCUGGUUCUCUAGGUUCCUCCCCCUUUGAGAUGUCAGUGGCUUCUGAUACAGUGUUGCAUUUUCCAGUCUCUUCUUCUAUAUGCACAUAUGGUUCCUCAGGCAAGUUUUCCUUGACUUCAUGUCCAUUCCCCUUUCCAUUAUCUUCAGACUCUACUUUAGGG
rnacentral:lncRNA from 1 species